AGCAGCCGCGGUAAUUCCAGCUCCAAUAGCGUAUAUUAAAGUUGUUGCAGUUAAAAAGCUCGUAGUUGAAUUUCGGGAUCAAUUAAUUGGUCGUGCCUCUGGUACGUACUGAUUUUAUUGGUUUCUCCCUUCUGACGAACCAUGAUGUCAUUAAUUUGGUGUCGUGGAGAAUCAGGACUGUUACUUUGAAAAAAUUAGAGUGUUUAAAGCAAGCUAACGCUUGAAUACAUUAGCAUGGAAUAAUGAAAUAGGACGUUUGAUCCUAUUUUGUUGGUUUCUAGGAUCGACGUAAUGAUUAAUAGGGAUAGUUGGGGGCAUUAGUAUUCAAUUGUCAGAGGUGAAAUUCUUGGAUUUAUUGAAGACUAACUACUGCGAAAGCAUUUGCCAAGGAUGUUUUCAUUAAUCAAGAACGAAAGUUAGGGGAUCGAAGACGAUCAGAUACCGUCGUAGUCUUAACCAUAAACCAUGCCGACUAGGGAUCGGAUGAUGUCAAUUUUUUAAU
rnacentral:misc_RNA from 1 species